UACGAAGGGUGCAAGCGUUAAUCGGAAUUACUGGGCGUAAAGCGUGCGUAGGCGGUUCGUUAAGUCUGAUGUGAAAGCCCUGGGCUCAACCUGGGAAUGGCAUUGGAUACUGGCGGGCUAGAGUGCGGUAGAGGGGUGCGGAAUUCCCGGUGUAGCGGUGAAAUGCGUAGAGAUCGGGAGGAACAUCCGUGGCGAAGGCGGCACCCUGGACCAGCACUGACGCUGAGGCACGAAAGCAUGGGGAUCGAACAGG
rnacentral:rRNA from 1 species